rnacentral:rRNA from 1 species
UACGUAGGGUGCAAGCGUUGUCCGGAAUUAUUGGGCGUAAAGAGCUCGUAGGCGGUUUGUCGCGUCGAAUGUGAAACCCGGGGCUCAACCCCGGGCCUGCAUUCGAUACGGGCAGACUAGAGUUCGGUAGGGGAGUCUGGAAUUCCUGGUGUAGCGGUGAAAUGCGCAGAUAUCAGGAGGAACACCGGUGGCGAAGGCGGGACUCUGGGCCGAUACUGACGCUGAGGAGCGAAAGCGUGGGAGCGAACAGG